rnacentral:rRNA from 1 species
UGGGCUACACACGUGCUACAAUGGACGGUACAAAGAGCUGCAAGACCGCGAGGUGGAGCUAAUCUCAUAAAACCGUUCUCAGUUCGGAUUGUAGGCUGCAACUCGCCUACAUGAAGCUGGAAUCGCUAGUAAUCGCGGAUCAGCAUGCCGCGGUGAAUACGUUCCCGGGCCUUGUACACACCGCCCGUCACACCACGAGAGUUUGUAACACCCGAAGUCGGUGGGGUAACCUUUUGGAGCCAGCCGCCUAAGGUGGGACAGAUGAUUGGGGUGAAGUCGUAACAAGGUAGCCGUAUCGGAAGGUGCGGUUGGAUUCACC